rnacentral:sRNA from 1 species
ACUUUUCUUGGUGGGCCUUCAUGUUACAGGCCUCGAAUUCCCGGCCUGCACACAACUCUACUGACUUGGACCCAUUUAAAUUCCGCUGGUUGAUCCCCAUCUCCGCGCUUCAAGUCAGACUGGGGAAUCCAGCAGGGACAGAAAAUAAUUCCAUAUGGGAACUGAUCCAUACGAAGUCAGAAAUAGAAGGACGGCCAGAAACCAUCUUUCAGUUGUGUUGCAGUGACAGUGAAAGCAAAACCAACAUUGUUAAGGUGAUUCGUUCUAUUCUGAGGGAAAACUUCAGGCGUCACAUAAAGUGUGAAUUACCACUGGAGAAAACGUGUAAGGAUCGCCUGGUACCUCUUAAGAACCGAGUUCCUGUUUCGGCCAAAUUAGCUUCAUCCAGGUCUUUAAAAGUCCUGAAGAAUUCCUCCAGCAACGAGUGGACCGGUGAGACUGGCAAGGGAACCUUGCUGGACUCUGACGAGGGCAGCUUGAGCAGCAGCACCCAGAGCAGCGGCUGCCCCACGGCUGAGGGCAGGCAGGACUCCAAGAGCACUUCUCCCGGGAAAUACCCACACCCCGGCUUGGCAGAUUUU